rnacentral:rRNA from 1 species
CACCAUGGGAGUCAGUAACGCCCGAAGCCGGUGACCCAACCUAUUCUGGAGGGAGCCGUCGAAGGCGGGACGGAUGACUGGGGUGAAGUCGUAACAAGGUACC